rnacentral:rRNA from 1 species
ACCCCUAACUCCUAUAACUGACUAACCCUUAGGGUCCUGUAUCCUCGGUUUUAGGUUGGGGCGACCAAGGAGUACAACAAAACCUCCACAAUGAACGGGACUUCUCCCUCAUCUAAGAGCUACACCUCUAAGAAUUAAAAUAUUAACAUAAAAUGAUCCAUUUUUUGAUCAAUGAACCAAGUUACCCUGGGGAUAACAGCGCAAUCCAUUUCAAGAGCCCCUAUCGACAAAUGGGUUUACGACCUCGAUGUUGGAUCAGGGUAUCCUAGUGGUGCAGCAGCUACUAAAGGUUCGUUUGUUCAACGAUUAAAACCCU